UCUUUCUCCAAUCCUCCGGAGCCAUCCCCUUCCUCCUCCUACCUCAAUCAACUGAAAGGAGCAGCUGCUUGUGUCGCCGGCAACGACGCAGCCAUCUUUGGGAAGCGAAGGAACGGCAGCGCGCGUCUCUCCGGCUUCCCCUCCACCCCCGGUACCAGCCCCUCGCCCUCCCCUGCCCAGUGCCCACUUUCGCGGCAGCGCGCUCCCUUUCCACUCCCCUUUUUUCCAAGGAGCAUCCGAGGAUUUGUUUUCACUGAUUCGUGUUACCAUUUCCACUGCUUUGAUUUGUGUGAUCUGUUCUUUUUUUUAUGAAUCCAGGCUGCUCGUGGUCGCUGUUCGUCCUCCCCUCUCCGUCUGCCCUCUCUAUCCGCCCUCUCUAUCUGCAUGUUCAUUCUCUGUGAUUUUAUUAGAUUUCCAUUUGAUUUUUGGUGCGAGCCAUAGAACUAGUUGGUACUUGAUCUAUUCGAUUCUUCGUGCGAUUUGAUGUUUCAUUGUGUUUGUGUGUUGUUUGGCGCAGGUGUCAUAUUUGGAGACAGUGCUUGAGUAGAAAUAGCGGCUGGGACAGGGUCCUGCAGUGCUCGCUGCAGGGGCGUGCCCUCUGGUACUGCUUCUCCAAGUUUCUUCAACCCAAUUACCAAUGCUUUUCGUGGUCACCAUUCACCCUAUCUGCUCCAACUGCCCUCCCCAUCUGCAGCUCGUGUUUGCCGAUCAGAUGCUCUAAAAAAACUUUGAAAGUAUAUAGCUUCUUACUUUAUCUUAAGUAAUAUUAUGUGCUUUCGGUGCCUUCUGCCGCAAGUUUUGAUUUGUUUUUUGUGAUAGGUUAUUCUAAAAGAAUCUCUUAAUGUAUGUAGAUUUUGACUUAGAUCUCAAAUAAUUUUUACAAUCCUUUUUGUUACUAUAUCCAUGCGUCUACUUUGAGUCUCUCCUCUCCUCUUCUCUAACUGAGCUCAAUUUGUCUCACAGCCCCGUCAAGGAUCCCCUUGACUGCAACUAGACUUCAAUUAACCAAGCGUGCCCCUGCAAUUCCGCUCCCAAGUCAGAUUUCAACAUUUUGUUGGUUUUUAUUUCUGCAGCUUGCUGUUUUGUUCCUUCCAUGCAGCUUCGAGUGUGUCACAACUCUGAGAUCAUAUUUUUGUCCUAGCCAACUGCAGAAGCUGCGCGCAGCAGGCGCAACAACAACUUCAUUGUGUCUGUUAAUUUGCCUUCUCUCACUAAUUCAGAGUAUAUUGUGAAUUUUUCUUCUCUCGGCAGCUAGUGUUUCUGUACUUUUGAAUGACGAUAUGAAUAAAGCUGCAGCUCAUCUCUCUAGCAUGGAUUGUUUCUAUCGGCUAUUUGUCUCAUGCAGGAAAAUUGAGAUAAUCAUCUUAUGUAUUUUUUGACUCUUGAUUAGUUAAUUUUCUUUUAUGCAUGUGUGGCCGGUAGCAGCACUUUUGAUAUUGCUUUUGUUCUGUUCACUUUGCUUUUUGUGGGUCUGAAUCUUGCUUUUGUUUUGGCGAAUUUCAGUACAGUACCUACUUGUUUUGGCGAAUUUUAGUACAGUACCUACUAUCCAAUCCUUGCAAGAGUAUGUACAAUUUGUUUACUUGUUUAGCAUAGUUUUGGCCUUUAGCGCUAAUCAUGUGCCUUGGUUACUGUUAGUUCAAUUGGCUAAUCAUGUGCACCAUACCAAAUUUAUUUUUGUUGCUGUCAUUUUGCUAUCAGCCGGGUGCACCAAAAAUUUAUCAUUUGAUUCCUAUCUGUUGGUUGCUAUCUGAAUUUUCCUAACUUUGUAGGUUCUGAAUUUUCCUAUCAUGUUUUUUGAGGUGUUUCAUCAUCACAUUUGUGUUUUCUAUUUUUAAAAAUAGUCGCUUUUUAUGUACUAAUGAACACUUGAAUAAUUGGUUCAACUCUAAUAUAUUAGCUUGUAAUAAAUCUGUUGUUUUUUACAAUAUCUUUAUAUUUAUAGACCUCUUUAUUAUCUAUGCAUUUGAUUUGUUUUUAUUGAUUGUUCGUAUAACUAAUAUUUUUUGUUGCUUUAAAUUAUUUUUAGAUGGCUUCUCGAGAUUGUACAUCGAUAAGGAGUGAGAAUAGCUAUGAUUAUUGUGAUGAUGACAUGGUGGUAAGUUAUUCAUGAUUAUAAGCCUGGUGAAGCUGUCUUUGAGUUCUAUAAGAAGAGGUAUUUCGUUUGUAAUUUUUUUUAUUUUGUUGUUUGUGGUUUUUGUAAUAGUAAUAUGUAUAUGCCUAUAGUUGAGUUAUCUACAUUGUGGGAGUCAUUUUGUUUUGCUUUAUUAUUCUAGAAAAUUAAGCAACUAAAGAGCAUGCUUACUCCAGCUGAGUUGAACGUUAUUGUGAAUGAUAUGGGCUAUCUUUAUUUUAGUAGUUUGUGUAGCUUUUAAUAGUUUUUACGCAGAAGCUGUAAUCUGUAUUUGGUUGUAUGUAAUUAGUUCCUUUGAAGAGAAAUAAAAGAUGUAUAAUUUGUUUUUUA